AGGAAGAGGAGGAAGAAAAGGAGAACGAAUAUGAAGGCGAGGAAGAGGAGGAAGAAGGUGAGGAGGAAGAGGAGGAAGUAGAAUGAGGAAAAGGAGGACGAGAAGGAAAAGGAGAGUGAGGAAGAGGAGGAAAGUGGAGAAGAGGAAGAAAAUGAGGAAGAGGACGGUGAGGACAAGGAGGAGGGAGGAAAUGAGGACGAGGAAGGUGAGGAAGAGGAAGAAGAGGAAGAGGAGGAGGAAGAAGAAAAUGAAGAGGAAAGAAGGGAAGGUGAAGAAGAAGAGGGUGAGGAGGAAGUAAAGAAAGAAAAGGGAAGAAGAGGAGGAGGAGGAUGGGGAUGAAGAUGAGGAUGGUGGUGAGGAGGAAGAUGAUGAGGAUGAUGAAGAUAAGGAUAAGGAUGAUGAUGAUGAGGAUGAUGAGGGAUGAUGAGGAUGACGAUGAGAAGGAGGAUGAGGGAUGAUGAGGAUGAGGAUGAUGAUGAAGGUGAGGCCGAAGAUGAGGACGAUGAUGAGGAUGAUGAUGAUGAUGAAAGCGAGGAUGGGGAUGAAGAUGAUGAAAAUGAGGACGAAAACAAUGACAAAUGCGAGCCCAAAGGUGGCGAUGAGGAGGAAGAUGAGGAUGAGGAGGAUGAGGAUGAGGAAGAGGAGGAGGAUGAAGGCGAGGCCGAAGCUGAGGAUGAUGAUGACGAUGAUGAUGAAAGCGAGGAUGAGGAUGAAGAUGAUGAAAAUGAGGACCAAAACAACAAACGCGAGGCCAAAGGCGACGAUGAGGAGGAAGAUGAAGAUGAGGAGGAUGAGGAUGGGGAUGAGGAUGAAGGCGAGGCCGAAGCUGAGGAUGAUGAUGAUGACGAUGAUGACGAAAGCGAGGAUGUGGAUGAAAAUGAUGAAAACGAGGACCAAAACAACAACAAACGCGAGGCCAAAGGCGACGAUGAAGAGGAAGAUGAAGACGAGGAUGAGGAAGGCGAGGCCGAAGCUCACCGUGGCCGCGGGGGCCGCCCCCCCCCCUAUUGAUGCUGACGGGGGCGGCGCCGGGCCGGGUUCGAUGGAAGUGAUGAACGGGGGCGGCGCCUCGAGCGCGGUGUGAAGCCGACAGAGAGGAGGAAACUCGAGCCCCCCCCGCGCCCCCCCCCAGCAGCAGCCCCAGAGCCAGCAGGACCCGCAGCGCCAUCUCAGAGCCCCAUGGG
rnacentral:lncRNA from 1 species